UGGUGGAUUGUGUGUUGAGAGAUUCUAGAUAAUUGUACGAAGAAUUAGGAAUGGAUUGAAUUGAUACCAUUUUAUAGAUGUAGCGUGGGAAAAUUUUAGCAAGAUUACUGCACUAAUAUUAUAGACAAGUUGGGUUCGGUACAAGAAAAUGUUUGGCAAGGACAAGGGUAGUUCCUGGGGAGAUGACAGUUGAGAUUAGUGGAACUGCUUCUCAAGUCCAAACAGCUCAGCAGUUGAUUCAGAAUUUCAUGGUAGAAGCUGCAAACCCAAAGCCUGCUGAUCAAGGCUUCAAUUCUUAUGCAGCUCCUGGUUCAGUAUAUACAUCUCCCCCUUCAAAUCCUAGCCUUGCAGGACAAACUGGAGGCUAUUCUUCGUACUAUGGCACCAAUUAUGGUUAUUAAAUAGGUGUGGUUCUGGUUAGGACAGUAUGUGCCAUGAAUUAUACUAUUUGUACACCAGUGUUGAUAUGCCAGUGUACACUCCCCUCACAAGAGGGAGGGGCCCAUCCCUAAUAAAAAAGGCGUGCCCCCCACCCCCCCACCCCCUCUAGUUAGAGGAGGGUACACCAGCGCGUCAACACAAGUGUACGUAUAGCAAAGCCCAUGUGCCAAUGUGUCGAUGUAGUUUGGUUAGAAUCUAAUAAUCCUUAUGUGACAGUUUGCAUUACGAACUUCAGUUUCUAGGACUUGUAACACACAAGAGCCAAGAAGUAUUUUAUAUUUUUUGCCUCUAGAAAUUUAUCCUGUACCUUUGAAAUGGUCAGAUUUGACCUUAUUAAUACAUUAAGAUAUAGUAGUGUAUUAUUGUUCUGAUCUCA